CCUACGGGAGGCAGCAGUAGGGAAUAUUGCUCAAUGGGGGAAACCCUGAAGCAGCAACGCCGCGUGGAGGAUGAAGGUUUUCGGAUUGUAAACUCCUUUUGUUAGAGAAGAUAAUGACGGUAUCUAACGAAUAAGCACCGGCUAACUCCGUACCAGCAGCCGCGGUAAUACGGAGGGUGCAAGCGUUACUCGGAAUCACUGGGCGUAAAGGGCGCGUAGGCGGGAUAGCAAGUCAGAUGUGAAAUUCUAUGGCUUAACCAUAGAACUGCAUUUGAAACUGUUAUUCUAGAGUAUGGGAGAGGUAGGUGGAAUUCUUGGUGUAGGGGUAAAAUCCGUAGAGAUCAAGAGGAAUACUCAUUGCGAAGGCGACCUGCUAGAACAUAACUGACGCUGAUGCGCGAAAGCGUGGGGAGCAAACAGGAUUAGAUACCCGUGUAGUC
rnacentral:rRNA from 1 species